UACAGAGGUGGCAAGCGUUGUUCGGAAUUACUGGGCGUAAAGGGCGCGUAGGCGGCCUGCUAAGUCGAACGUGAAAUCCCUGGGCUCAACCCAGGAACUGCGUCCGAUACUGGUUGGCUUGAAUCCGGGAGAGGGAUGUGGAAUUCCAGGUGUAGCGGUGAAAUGCGUAGAUAUCUGGAGGAACACCGGUGGCGAAGGCGACAUCCUGGACCGGCGUUGACGCUGAGGCGCGAAAGCCAGGGGAGCAAACGGG
rnacentral:rRNA from 1 species